GAUGAAGAACGUAGCGAAAUGCGAUACGUAAUGUGAAUUGCAGAAUUCAGUGAAUCAUCGAAUCUUUGAACGCAUAUUGCGCUCUCUGGUAUUCCGGAGAGCAUGCUUGUUUGAGUAUCAGUAAACACCUCAACUUCCAUAUCUUUUUUGAAAUGGGAGUUGGACUUGAGUGAUCCCAACGCUUUUCCUCACCGAAAAGUGGCGGGUUACUUGAAAUGCAGGUGCAGCUGGACUUUUCUCUGAGCUAUAAGCAUAUCUAUUUAGUCUGCCUAAAAAACAGAUUAUUACCUUUGCUGCAGCUAACAUAAAGGAGAUUAGUUCUUGUGCUGACUGAUGCAGGAUUCACAAAGACGGCUUCGGCCGACUUUGUAAACUCGAUCUCAAAUCAAGUAAGAGUACCCGCUGAACUUAAGCAUAUCAAUACGCGGAGGA
rnacentral:misc_RNA from 1 species